rnacentral:sRNA from 1 species
AGCGUUAACCAUUUUUUAAGCCUUCCGGGCGAUAACCAAGCCGGUCCAGCUUUCUGGAUGUCGAGUGGUUUUUCUGUCCACUCUGUUUGAUGCCUCCCUGUACGACUCUUUCGCCGCCCCACCGGGGCGGCUUUCUUUUU